UACAGAGGGUGCGAGCGUUGUUCGGAAUUAUUGGGCGUAAAGCGCGCGCAGGCGGUCCUUUAAGUCUGAUGUGAAAGCCCACGGCUCAACCGUGGAGGGUCAUUGGAAACUGGGGGACUUGAGUGCAGAAGAGGAAAGCGGAAUUCCACGUGUAGCGGUGAAAUGCGUAGAGAUGUGGAGGAACACCAGUGGCGAAGGCGACUUCCUGGCCUGUUCUUGACGCUGAGGCGCGAAAGCUAGGGGAGCAAACGGG
rnacentral:rRNA from 1 species